ACACACCAGGACACCGCCCUACUCAUACUCCCGACUCAGGAAUUCGCCCCGGCAUGAUAUAGAUCUUGAACCUGGCACCGACCGUACCGCCUAAAAACACUCCAUCACUCGAUAGCACUACGUUAGCCUAGGAUACAAAUAACGACAAUAUUGAUAACUGCUGAUGACACUAGACUAGGCCCAUUACUCACACUGACAUGAGCUAACG